GCUGGCGGCAGGCCUAACACAUGCAAGUCGAACGGGCGUAGCAAUACGUCAGUGGCGGACGGGUGAGUAACACGUGGGAAUAUGCCUUUCGGUUCGGAACAACUCGGGGAAACUCGUGCUAAUUCCGGAUACGCCCUUACGGGGAAAGAUUUAUCGCCGAAAGAUUAGCCCGCGUCCGAUUAGCUAGUUGGUGAGGUAAAGGCUCACCAAGGCACCGAUCGGUAGCUGGUUUGAGAGAACGACCAGCCACACUGGGACUGAGACACGGCCCAGACUCCUACGGGAGGCAGCAGUGGGGAAUCUUGGACAAUGGGCGCAAGCCUGAUCCAGCCAUGCCGCGUGAGUGAUGAAGGCCUUCGGGUUGUAAAACUCUUUUGGCGGGGACGAUAAUGACGGUACCCGCAGAAUAAGCUCCGGCUAACUUCGUGCCAGCAGCCGCGGUAAUACGAAGGGGGCUAGCGUUGUUCGGAAUUACUGGGCGUAAAGCGUGCGC
rnacentral:rRNA from 1 species